rnacentral:rRNA from 1 species
CCUACGGGAGGCAGCAGUAGGGAAUUUUCGUCAAUGGGCGCAAGCCUGAACGAGCGAUGCCGCGUGAGUGAAGAAGGCCUUCGGGUCGUAAAGCUCUGUUGCGGGGGAAAAAAGGCAGCAUCAGGAAAUGGGUGCUGACUGAUGGUGCCCCGCCAGAAAGUCACGGCUAACUACGUGCCAGCAGCCGCGGUAAUACGUAGGUGGCGAGCGUUAUCCGGAAUGAUUGGGCGUAAAGGGUGCGCAGGCGGUCCUGCAAGUCUGGAGUGAAACGCAUGAGCUCAACUCAUGCAUGGCUUUGGAAACUGGAGGACUGGAGAGCAGGAGAGGGCGGUGGAACUCCAUGUGUAGCGGUAAAAUGCGUAGAUAUUACACAGAACACCGAUUGCGAAGGCAGCUUGCUAGGCCGGAUCUGACACUGAUGCACGAAAGCGUGGGGAUCGAACAGGAUUAGAUACCCCUGUAGUC